rnacentral:rRNA from 1 species
CGGUGAAUACGUUCCCGGGCCUUGUACACACCGCCCGUCAAGCCAUGGGAGGCUGGGGGUACCUAAAGUCGGUUACCGCAAGGAGCUGCCUAAGGUAAAACCAGUGACUGGGGCU